rnacentral:lncRNA from 1 species
GGUCCCCAUGAACUCCGCAGCGCCCCCUCUGGCCCCACCUCGCCGCCUGCCCUUCGCCGCCGGACCGGCCCAGUCCCGCCUCCCUCCCCUCCCCGCGGCAGCUUCUGCAGAGAAACGAAACCAAAGCCCGGGCGGGGCGGACCCGAAAGCGACCAGCUGGGAUUUCCCGGGGCCUGGCGCGUCCCGUCGGGCCGAGCGUGUGGCCGCCCGCCUGGCUCCGGCUGGGCCCUCUGACCCCGAUGGGCGACCCCGGGGGUCUCGCCUGGGGCAGCAGGAAGGUCUGGCUCGCCGUGGCCAUUGUGGAACUCGCCAUCGUCCUCAUCCUGGCAGCCGGGCUGGGCCACUUUGUGGCCACGGAGCAGUGGCUGCACAGCGACGUGCUGGGCCUGCGGGAGGAGCUGGCCCGUGCCAACUGGACCCUGCAGGAGAUGCAGGAGAGCUCUGACGUGUGCAGGAACCACACGCAUGUCCUGCAGAAGAAUGUCAUCAACCUGACCCAGGAGGUCACCCGGUUAAAUAGCGACAUUGCCCAGCAAGAGGUGGAAAAAGGCAGGUUACAAGAUGAAAUUAGCACCUGGAAAAACAAGGUCCAGCAUCUCCAGGAGCAAAAGGAUCAGUACCACAGGGAGGUCAGCUGGCUACAGCAGCAGCUCCAAAGACACCAGGAACUUCGCUCCAGUGUGGGCAGUGCCAGGCUCCCCCCCCUCCUGCCUCUGCUGGCAGCCCCCCUCGCUGCACUGCUUGUCUGAACGGAGCCAGGCAGGGAGCAGAGUCAGCACCCAGGACGGAGUCCCCCAGCUGAGAGACCGGGACUCUCCCAGGGAAUAAGCAGCACUGGACCCUGUGGCCGGCACAUGCUCCUCGUGGAGGAAGCCUCAUCUCCUGCCAGAGGACUGUUUACUGAGGGGGGGGGGGCUGUGACGGACGAGGGGGACGCAGUGACAAGUCCAUGGAUGGAGAUGACCCUGCACUACAGUUUAGACACGUCACCCAAAGCCCCAGAUGACAGUUGCACCAAGUUGGGCCUGUGACAUCCUACUUGGGUAGGAAACACCAAUGGACCGCCGACAUUUUUUCAGAGGUGGCCACUGAUUUGGGGUGCCCGGUUUUGGGGUGCCCCUGGCCCCCACAUGAGUCACACCCAGUCUGGGACCCAGCGACAGCAUCACCUGCUCUCACGCUUAGGGAAAGGGGAGGGGGGAUUAAAGUGACUAACAACCCAGCCCUCGGCCGGGAGAACGUUGGCAGAAUAAAUAGGCUUUGCUAUUCA